GACGUUAGCUGCAGUAAGAAGCUACCGGCUAACUCCGUGCCAGUCAGCCGCGGUAAUACGGAGGGUGCGAGCGUUAAUCGGAAUUACUGGGCGUAAAGCGCAUGCAGGUGGUUGUUAAGUCAGAUGUGAAAGCCCGGGGCUCAACCUCGGAAUAGCAUUUGAAACUGGCAGACUAGAGUACUGUAGAGGGGGUAGAAUUUCAGGUGUAGCGGUGAAAUGCGUAGAGAUCUGAAGGAAUACCGGUGGCGAAGGCGGCCCCCUGGACAGAUACUGACACUCAGAUGCGAAAGCGUGGGGAGCAAACAGGAUUAGAUACCCUGGUAG
rnacentral:rRNA from 1 species